CUCUGUUAUGUGAGGUUGUGAAGAAUUCUCCUAUCAUUUCUGUGCAGAGUUAAGGUUUUUGUAGCAGUUGCUGGCUUGGUUAUCAAUUGGAGGUUAGAAAUGGUUGAGAUUGUUUCCAUUUUGGAUGUGGUUCAGUUAAGAGGUUUGUAAGUUGUUAGGAAAAAAUGAGUUAGAGAUUAUUGUUGGAACUCUGUUUUUGCAGGUUUUGUGUAAGGAGAACUCGUUUUUUGCUUUGUUAUUUGACAGGUUAAAAAUGGAGGUACAAUUAAAUUGUUAGUGAAAAUAACUUGAAUUUUCCGUUUCAUUUGCAGGUUGUGUAUCAUGGAUUGGAUGCUUGAACUGAAUGGAUAUGGAAUGCAUUGCUUGAAUUGGAUAUGGAUUUUUGUUGUAAAUUUUGUAUUGUUGUAAAUUGACAAUAAAUGUAUGCAUGGAUUUUUGAAUGAAUGAAAUGGUGUUAAUGUAUGUAUGUUUGGAAAUGAAUUGAACAUUUGGAAAUUGGAAUGAAUUCAUAGGAAAAUGUUGGUUUAAUGUAUUUGAAAUGUAUUAUGGUU
rnacentral:lncRNA from 1 species